CUCAUAUAGUGUCGUUACGUUUCUUUUAAUAUUUUUAAGUGUUGUUGAUUUUCACAUAUUUACCUUCAUGAAACUGUGUGGAUAAAAUGGAACUACACGACUCAGACCUGUAUUCGGAUAUGUUAUUUCUGGAUAAACACAAGACACAUCACGUUCUAAAAUCGGAUUCUGUCCCGGAUGUCGACCCGGAACAACAUUUUGAAGUGUUUAUACCAAAGAGUUUCAGAGUGAUUCGAACAGAGGCAUUGGAAUGCUACAAAUGAUCAGUUAGGCGGCCAUGAAUCCAUCACGCGUCACACGGCUCCAGAUCCCCUCCACUGAUUAUCAUUUACUGCUCGGUCUUCAGAAACACUCGGGUGUUGUCCAACUGGGCUAACCCCAGUGACAGGGAGUCUAACAAGCCCGUCCUGUUCAACCGGUUUCUCGGCACCAUCAUAAAAUCACAGUUUUUGUGUAAAAGACGUAUAAUAAAGAUGUGUCUGAGCGCCUCAGCCUGUCAAGCAGACUAAAGUUACGGAGUACACAGCGCGAUACAUCAACGUUAGCCCUUGCCCCGUCAGGUAUACAUCAUAUCAGAACCAGGCGUUCGGAACGUCGUCGCCCUGUGUUAUGACGGCGUAACGUUACAGAAUAUGACAAGAAGAUGUGAAAAGGCGUUACAAAUUAUGAUUUACAUGUUUAUGAGUGUUCUACUUUAGGAAGCGAUAUAUCUACUCUAAACAGUAGCCGUUUAUAUUGAAAUACAAUAUGGUUGGUGUGAAUUUGUGUUUAAAUGAAGAUUACAGUUGUGGUCACGGAGACAACGCAGACAAGACAAAUUUUGAUGAAUCAGUUAAAAAAAGUAGACGCAAUGAGAAUGAAACAAAUGUUUCGUGUAUGAUAAGUAAAUGCAGUUAACUUCAUUAAAGUAUUGUCAGAUGGCAAUCCUCUUCUAAUGUCCUUUCCCAGAAUGAUACAAAUCAAAUUGACCUACCUGGACAGUCAAUAUUGAAAUCAUACGCGCCAUAUGGAACCAAUUUAAGUGAAAUGAAACAAGAGGGCAGGUUGAUAAACAAACUAUGAUUGUUAUUUUCUUACCAGAAAACAAAAAACGCUUCAUGCGGCUUAUCAUAAACUACAAGUUGGUGCUGUGGCCAUUGACCAUGUUACCAUGUGAGGAAAACGUUUGCUUAUAUUCAUUAUAUUCUGCGUACUGUAUUGUGCACUAUGGUGAAGCUAUAUGUUACUAAUAUAAAGUCAAGUACAGGACAAGCCCAGUAGCCAAAUGUGAUAAUAAAGACCAAGGCAUAUCUCAUAUAUCUCAAACAACAAAGACCAUACAUGCAUCGACAUAUCUGAUGAUUUGUGUAAUAGAGUUGAAAGCGAUGCAGGAGCUUACUAGGGAUUUAAAAAAGUUUAUGGACAGUUGCCAAACAUUAUAUCAAUGCUCGUAAAAUUAAAAUUAACUUCUCAAACGGAGCCAGCAUAAACUUGAGGACACUGCAAUAUAAAGAAAAGCUAAUCCUACUAACAGAAACGCUCAACGAACAGAUUUAUUGAGACAUCACCUGCACAGAAGUGAA